rnacentral:lncRNA from 1 species
UUUCACCAUGUUGGCCAGGCUGGUCUGGAACUCCUGACCUCAAGUGACCUGCCCACCUCAGCUUCCCAAAGUGCUGGGCUUAUAGGCGUGAGCCACCAUGCCCGGCCCAUUAUUUUUAUUUAUUUUUUAUUUUUAUUAAUUUUUUUUUCUGACUCUGCUCAGAAAGAAUGCUAGCAGGUUUGAUGCCAGCAGAUGAUUAAACAAGUGCUUUCGUGUUUGCACUUGUUUGCACUUCCUCUCCUGCUUGCGUGCAAUUGUCAUGAAAACAUGCUCAGUCUAACCUGAGUCAUAU